rnacentral:lncRNA from 1 species
AUGCAUGCAUGCUGAUUUUAUCUUCAGUAUCUUUCAGAUUUUAUAUGCGACAUAUCAUGUCAUAGAUCUUAGAGUAAGUUGAUUUAAUGAUUUGAUCAUAUGCAUGUUAGAUUAAUUUGAUUAAUCUAGUUGUCUUUUGCUGUAAUUUUUUCGAAAAAAAUUUAAAAUACAUGCAUGAAAUCGCCUAUGCAUUCCAACAUUGUCACCAC